UAGGGUUGCGUUAUAAAGUUUUAUAACGAUCCUUCGUGCCUCAGGAGCGCUAUAAAACUUUAUAACGCUUCCUCUAGUAAAGAGUGUAAAAGAAGCGAACAUUUAGUUCGCUUCUUUGUUUUCAAGA
rnacentral:sRNA from 1 species